rnacentral:rRNA from 1 species
AGUCGACGGUGACCUCGGAGCUUGCUCCGGGCGAUCAGUGGCGAACGGGUGAGUAACACGUGAGUAACCUGCCCCAGACUCUGGGAUAACAUCGGGAAACCGGUGCUAAUACCGGAUAUGAGACGAGACCGCAUGGUCAUCGUCUGGAAAGAUUUAUCGGUCUGGGAUGGACUCGCGGCCUAUCAGCUAGUUGGUGAGGUAAUGGCCCACCAAGGCGACGACGGGUAGCCGGCCUGAGAGGGCGACCGGCCACACUGGAACUGAGACACGGUCCAGACUCCUACGGGAGGCAGCAGUGGGGAAUAUUGCACAAUGGGCGCAAGCCUGAUGCAGCAACGCCGCGUGGGGGAUGAAGGCCUUCGGGUUGUAAACCCCUUUUAGCAGGGAAGAAGCGAAAGUGACGGUACCUGCAGAAAAAGCGCCGGCUAACUACGUGCCAGCAGCCGCGGUAGUACGUAGGGCGCAAGCGUUGUCCGGAAUUAUUGGGCGUAAAGAGCUCGUAGGCGGUUUGUCGCGUCUGCUGUGAAAGUCCGAGGCUCAACCUCGGAUCUGCAGUGGGUACGGGCAGACUAGAGUGUGGUAGGGGAGACUGGAAUUCCUGGUGUAGCGGUGGAAUGCGCAGAUAUCAGGAGGAACACCAAUGGCGAAGGCAGGUCUCUGGGCCACAACUGACGCUGAGGAGCGAAAGCGUGGGUAGCAAACAGGAUUAGAUACCCUGGUAGUCCACGCCGUANACGGUGGGCACUAGAUGUNGGGCUCUUUCCAUGAGUUCCGCGUCGCAGCUAACGCAUUAAGUGCCCCGCCUGGGGAGUACGGCCGCA